UACGGAGGGUGCAAGCGUUAUCCGGAUUCACUGGGUUUAAAGGGUGCGUAGGCGGGCAGGUAAGUCCGUGGUGAAAUCUCUGAGCUUAACUCAGAAACUGCCAUGGAUACUAUCUGCCUUGAAUAUUGUGGAGGUAAGCGGAAUAUGUCAUGUAGCGGUGAAAUGCUUAGAUAUGACAUAGAACACCAAUUGCGAAGGCAGCUUACUACACAGUUAUUGACGCUGAGGCACGAAAGCGUGGGGAUCAAACAGG
rnacentral:rRNA from 1 species